rnacentral:rRNA from 1 species
AUUGAACGCUGGCGGCAUGCCUUACACAUGCAAGUCGAACGGUAGAGUAGCAAUACUCGAGAGUGGCGAACGGGUGAGUAAUAUAUCGGAACGUGCCCAGUCGUGGGGGAUAACGUAGAGAAAUUUACGCUAAUACCGCAUACGAUCUAAGGAUGAAAGCGGGGGAUCGCAAGACCUCGCGCGAUUGGAGCGGCUGAUAU